rnacentral:lncRNA from 1 species
UGUGUUAUAACCAUGCUCUCAAGCCCACUUUAUAAUAUGUUCCCUGGUGGGUGAAGUUAUUAUCAAGUACGGACCAUCAUGAGUACUUUUCAGUGGAGAACUAUGACUUCAAAAGCACUAUGUUGAAGAGUACAACUGAAAUAAAAGCUUAAAAGAAGAUGGAGAUUGGAGAUGGAAGUUUACCUUCAUCUAUGGAACUGGAAAUACACUAGCUUUGUAGAAAUUAUGGGUAUUGAAUAAAA